rnacentral:rRNA from 1 species
GUACACUCCUACGGGAGGCAGCAGUGGGGAAUAUUGCACAAUGGGCGCAAGCCUGAUGCAGCCAUGCCGCGUGUAUGAAGAAGGCCUUCGGGUUGUAAAGUACUUUCAGCGGGGAGGAAGGCGAUAAGGUUAAUAACCUUGUUGAUUGACGUUACCCGCAGAAGAAGCACCGGCUAACUCCGUGCCAGCAGCCGCGGUAAUACGAAGGGUGCAAGCGUUAAUCGGAAUUACUGGGCGUAAAGCGCACGCAGGCGGUCUGUCAAGUCGGAUGUGAAAUCCCCGGGCUCAACCUGGGAACUGCAUUCGAAACUGGCAGGCUAGAGUCUUGUAGAGGGGGGUAGAAUUCCAGGUGUAGCGGUGAAAUGCGUAGAGAUCUGGAGGAAUACCGGUGGCGAAGGCGGCCCCCUGGACAAAGACUGACGCUCAGGUGCGAAAGCGUGGGGAGCAAACAGGAUUAGAAACCCCUGUAGUCCCAUGAU